CCUACGGGAGGCUGCAGUGGGGAAUAUUGCGCAAUGGGCGAAAGCCUGACGCAGCGACGCCGCGUGAGGGAUGAAGGUCUUCGGAUCGUAAACCUCUGUCAGCAGGGAAGACCGGUCACUGUGUUAAUCAGCAGUGAAUUGACGGUACCUGCAAAGGAAGCACCGGCUAACUCCGUACCAGCAGCCGCGGUACUACGGAGGGUGCGAGCGUUAAUCGGACUUGCUGGGCGUAAAGCGCUCGUAGGCGGUAUGUCAAGUCAAGGGUGAAAUCCCCGCGCUCAACGUGGGCACUGCCUUUGAAACUGGCAAACUGGAGUGUGUGAGAGGAUAGUGGAAUUCCAGGUGUAGGAGUGAAAUCCGUAGAUAUCUGGAGGAACAUCAGGGGCGAAGGCGACUAUCUGGCACAUAACUGACGCUGAGGAGCGAAAGCGUGGGUAGCAAACAGGAUUAGAUACCCUUGGAGGC
rnacentral:rRNA from 1 species